rnacentral:rRNA from 1 species
AGUGAACGCUGGCGGCAGGCCUAACACAUGCAAGUCGAACGGCAGCACAGCAGUAGCAAUACUGUGGGUGGCGAGUGGCGGACGGGUGAGGAAUACAUCGGAAUCUGCCUAGUCGUGGGGGAUAACGUAGGGAAACUUACGCUAAUACCGCAUACGACCUACGGGUGAAAGCGGGGGAUCGCAAGACCUCGCGCGAUUAGAUGAGCCGAUGUCCGAUUAGCUAGUUGGCGGGGUAAUGGCCCACCAAGGCGACGAUCGGUAGCUGGUCUGAGAGGAUGAUCAGCCACACUGGAACUGAGACACGGUCCAGACUCCUACGGGAGGCAGCAGUGGGGAAUAUUGGACAAUGGGCGCAAGCCUGAUCCAGCCAUGCCGCGUGAGUGAAGAAGGCCUCGGUUGUAAG